UAAGCUGCUCUGAGCUCUCUUAAUGAUGCGAAUUAUUUAACGCUCAUUUGUAUGCAGUAUGCUCCUGCUUUGAAAGUACUUCACAGAAUUCAAGCCAAAUUCAGCCGUGCAGCUCCACUGAAGUCAGUUGUUGUCUGUGCAUCUACUGGUAGCUUUUCUUUUUGCUUUUGCUUGAAGAGUUAACUUCUUGUUGCACUGAUUUUAUUUUUUAAGUUAAUAUCUGCAAGGGUUUUUAGUCACCCUCCUCCCCUCCCUGGUAGAGUGGCUGUAAAUAUAAAUGCAGUUUUGUUGAUUCUCUCAUCUCCCUCUUAAGCCCUGCAAAAGGAGGACAAGCUAAGCAGAAAAUAUUUUUCUGUAUUCUUUCCUUUCCACUACUUUGCGCUUCCUAAGCACGGUUCUGCUGAAAUAUGGAACUUCUCCUAAAAAUCAUCCUGCAUAGAAUCUCUGCCUGCCAUCAGAUGUGUGCAAGAAGCUGAGUUCCUGUCUGUGGCCCAUUUCUGGGUUAACACGACGUGAACUGAUGGAGGCCAAGUCACGUACAAUUCUGCAGAGCACUCAAAAGCGUUUGCAAGGAGAAUCCCAAACUACUGUUAGGACACAAACUUGUGCUGGAUUCUAAUAAGGCCUUGCAGGUGGUGCCUCACUAAAAAGGGCAUGAAAUGAGCAUGGACUGAUCAAGAAAGGUGCCUGGACAGGUGAAGGGAGGCAAUCCAGCAAUGCCAGUCCACACAGCAGAGAAGGGAAUGAACUGCUGCGGGACUGCAGGAGCCCAGGAGGGUGUUGUCAUGGGUAAGAGUAGUGAAGAGAAACCAAGAAGGAAACAGGACGUGUUCAGAAUGACUGCAGAAUGCUGCUACAACAGCACUGAGAAAAUGCUGGAAUAUGGGGCAACCGUCCCAUUUUGCUAAUCCAGCUCUCUAAGGGUUUUUCUAAUGUAUCCAGGUAGCAGGCCUGGAAGGGGGAGUCCUGUUUAUCUCCAUUAUUUAGGUAUACAUUUCUCCAAAUUGGGAUUUGAUAAGAGGACAGCUGCUGCAUUUUUAUUAUUUGAGACAAGCGGCAGUAAAAGCUGUUCAGAGUUCACAAUGGAAAUGUAUCCGCAUAUUGGCAUUUAUCCAGCUGCUCUUCACAAAGGUAAAUGGGACGUGAGAAUGGUAUGCUGCCCCUUUUUAAUCCAUUUUCUGUAGAAGGGGGUACUUUGCUUCUCUGCGGGAAAGGCUAGCACAGCUACGGUGCUAAUAAACGCUCAUUUCUCACUGCAGCAUAUGGGCUUCCCAGACAAUUGCUUCCAAGCAAUUUUAGUUGAAUUACAAUUAAAUAUCCACGCACAUUUCCAUACCAUGGUCUGGUGCGCAAGGCAUAGGCCGAAGUGGCUGGACAUCUGCUGUCUGCUCUCCCAUACAUAGUGUUUGGCAGAGCCUAAUUCCUUAAUCUUACCCUACCUCCAUUAACGGUACCUGUAAAAUUGGAUGCAGAGCAUCAUCCUACAGAUGUUUUGGCAUAUUCUUCAAGAAGAGCAGCAUUUUCUUUCUUGCUCUUUUUUCUUCCCCUCCCCCCCUUUUUUUAAGCAUCCCUUAUUGUCAACUAGUCAAAAAUACUUUUCAAUGCUGUUGAUCUUUCAGUCAAAGGAUUUCCAGGUCAGGGGUUCACUUUGGCUCUGUUAAUGACAGUGGGAAAUAAGACAUCAUAUUAAAAAGUUGGUUGAGAUGCAGGACACUCAUAGAUCCUCUCAACAAUUUUGUGUCAUUUGUACAAGACCCAGAGACUCAGUAAUGCAAUAAGAUAAAUGUAGUGCUUGAUUACAGUGGAUGUAUUGCACUUAAAAAGGCAUUUUAUUGUUAGGCUCUGCAUAUCUAAAGUAAUAACAACUGUAUGUCAGGCAAGACAAUGGUAAAGUAAGCCAGAUAAUUUUCCCAUUGUUAAAACUUUCAAAAUCCAAAAAGCUAUAAAUGUCUUAAUUACGUUCAAUUUAGCUAGAUCUAGUGCUGGUGGCUGGAGGGAACAUCUUUCUGAGGUUCAGUCUUUCCCCUGGUCUAACUGAUAACACUUAAAACUGUGUCACUUACACUGUUACAGCUAUUUAAAGAAGAAUUAUAUGUAGUCAUUACCCAUCUUGAGUUUCCAUGCAGCAGGGUUACCAUAUGAAACUGCAGUUUAGUUGUUCUCAUUUGUCCCAGAAAGCUUAAACAAAGAUGUACAGUCUGCUCUGAACUUAACCAGCAUCCUUCGAUGCUGAAGCUCUAUGAGGCACACAGGCUGUCUUCUGCACUGUUGUAUAGUUACCUAACAAAAUGCUUAUUCCCUGUGGAUUUGGUAGAAACUUUGAAUUUUGCCCCCUUGACUCCAACCCCAUGUGCCUGUCAGCUUCAGACAAAGUUCUAGCCACGACCACAAGAACAUCCUAAAUCAGUCUCAGUAGUUUGUAUUUCCUUGCCAAAGAUCUUAUCUGCUCUGGGUGCAAGUUGCACCAUAAAGAGUGCUGGUGUUGAAAAUUUUUCACCCUUCUGUUUCACAACCCUACCUUUUCAGGCUAGGUUAAUUUAUCUAGAAGAAUUGAGACAAAGCUGUCAAGUGAGAAAGGCUGCGCAGCAAGACAGCAUUGCUCUGAGCAUCUGCACAAUUUGUAUAUUUGAUUAGGUACCUCAGCACUUGAAGAUUAUUGUUGUUACAAGCAAAUCCUACUUUUGCCAUUUUCUUAUAAGGCUCUGUGCUGCAUUUCAGUGGAUGUUCAUUCUCUGUAUACCUGUGUUCUUUACAAAAAUGACAAAUGCUGAUAGUAAAAAUUACAUUUCCCCUUUAAAACAUAUUGCUAUUUAUAUAUCACAUAUAUAUACUAUAUAUAUAUGCUGUGGUCCAAUGACCUAAUGAGAGAUGCGUCAUGGAUUUCAGUGGGACAUGAGCUGGGCCUUGAAAUCUGCUUCUCACAUGAGUAGUCCCCGAUACACAUCAUGAAAACCUUCUUUUGUUUAUAAUGACAGAUGCCACAGGGGGUUGUAUAUUUGGAUAUAUAUAUUUUUUUCUUUGUGUUUAUUAUCAAAUGCUUGCAAGUUCUAUGAUGUGGUAAAAACUCUCUCUGUGGAUAAACAGGAAGCACUCAGAGGUAUUGCAUUACCCACGUAACGCAACACAGAUUCCAACAGCUUGGCUCUUUUUUUCAACAUACUGUGACACCACUUCCUUCAGGAAAUCUCGUCUGCAGAGCUCAUUUCUGCUAUAGAUAUG